GUACUAAAAUAUUAAAUUUAAUAUUAAAUUUUAAGAAGAAAUGAUUAUAUAAGUAAAAUUAAAAUUUGUAGAAUGAUUAUUUUUUUAAAGUGAAAUAUUAGAAAUUAAAAUUAUAAAUUAAUCAUGAAAUAAAAAAGGAACUCGGCAAAAAGAUUUCUUGCCUGUUUAUCAAAAACAUGUCUAUUUGAGGUUAUGUAUAGUCUAGCCUGCUCACUGACAAAAAUGUUAAAUAGCCGCGGUAUUUUGACCGUGCAAAGGUAGCAUAAUCAUUAGUUUUUUAAUUGAAAACUUGUAUGAAUGGUUGGACAAAGAAAAAGCUGUCUCUUUUAUUUGAAUUGAAAUUAACUUCUAAGUGAAAAGGCUUAGAUUUUUUAGAGGGACGAUAAGACCCUAUAAAGCUUUAUAAGUUAAGUAAGUUAAAUUAAUUUUUUAAAAUAAAAAUAAGCUUAAAAAAAUUUAUUUGGUUGGGGCGACAAUGGUAUAAAUUAAAUAACUGCUAUUAAAAUUAAGCAAUUAUAUUUGAUUAGAAUUAUAAUUGAUCCUUAUUAUGGAUUAAAAGAUCAAGUUACUUUAGGGAUAACAGCGUAAUUUCUUUUGAGAGUUCUUAUCAAAGAAGAAGUUUGCGACCUCGAUGUUGAAUUAAAAUGUCUUUAUAGUGCAGAAGCUAUAAAAGAAGGUCUGUUCGACCUUUAAUUUUUUACAUGAUUUGAGUUCAGACCGGUGUAAGCCAGGUCGGUUUCUAUCUUCUAAAAAGAAAUAAAUUACUUUAGUAC
rnacentral:misc_RNA from 1 species